AACGAACGCUGGCGGCAGGCUUCAUACAUGCAAGUCGCGCGAUUAAAGCCCCUUCGGGGGUGUAUAAAGCGGCGAACGGGUGAGUAACAGGUGGAUAAUCUGCCUUUCGGUGGGGGAUAACGGCUGGAAACGGCCGCUAAUACCGCAUGUGGUUACUGGAACACAAGUUCCGGCAAAGAAAGGGGCUUCACGGCCCCGCCGAAAGAUGAGUCCGCCCCCCAUUAGCUAGUUGGCGGGAUAAUAGCCCACCAAGGCUUCGAUGGGUAGCCGAGCUGAGAGGUUGAUCGGCCACACUGGGACUGAGAUACGGCCCAGACACCUACGGGAGGCUG
rnacentral:rRNA from 1 species